GACGAACGCUGGCGGCGUGCUUAACACAUGCAAGUCGAACGGAAAGGCCCUGCUUUUGUGGGGUGCUCGAGUGGCGAACGGGUGAGUAACACGUGAGUAACCUGCCCUUGACUUUGGGAUAACUUCAGGGAACUGGGGCUAAUACCGGAUAGAAGCUCCUGCUGCAUGGUGGGGGUUGGAGAGUUUCGGCGGUUGGGGAUGGACUCGCGGCUUAUCAGCUUGUUGGUGGGGUAGUGGCUUACCAAGGCUUUGACGGGUAGCCGGCCUGAGAGGGUGACCGGCCACAUUGGGACUGAGAUACGGCCCAGACUCCUACGGGAGGCAGCAGUGGGGAAUAUUGCACAAUGGGCGGAAGCCUGAUGCAGCAACGCCGCGUGCGGGAUGACGGCCUUCUGGUUGUAAACCGCUUUCGCCUGUGACGAAGCGUGAGUGACGGUAAUGGGUAAAGAAGCACCGGCUAACUACGUG
rnacentral:rRNA from 1 species